UGGGGGAUAUUGCACAAUGGGCGAAAGCCUGAUGCAGCGACGCCGCGUGGGGGAUGAAGGCCUUCGGGUUGUAAACUUCCUUUGCUCUGAACAAGGCAUGCCUUUGGGGUGUGUUGAGUGUAGGGGUUGAUUAGCGCCGGCUAACUACGUGCCAGCAGCCGCGGUAAUACGUAGGGCGCGAGCGUUGUCCGGAAUUAUUGGGCGUAAAGGGCUUGUAGGUGGCUGGUUGCGUCUGUCGUGAAAGCUCAUGGCUUAACUGUGGGUUUGCGGUGGGUACGGGCUGGCUUGAGUGCAGUAGGGGAGGCUGGAAUUCCUGGUGUAGCGGUGGAAUGCGCAGAUAUCAGGAGGAAUACCGGUGGCGAAGGCGGGUCUCUGGGCUGUUACUGACGCUGAGGAGCGAAAGCGUGGGGAGCGAACAGG
rnacentral:rRNA from 1 species